rnacentral:rRNA from 1 species
UUAAGCGACUAAGCGUACACGGUGGAUGCCCUGGCAGUCAGAGGCGAUGAAGGGCGUGCUAAUCUGCGAUAAGCGCCGGUAAGGUGAUAUGAACCGUUAUAACCGGCGAUACCCGAAUGGGGAAACCCAGUGUGACUCGUCACACUAUCAUUAACUGAAUCCAUAGGUUAAUGAGGCGAACCGGGGGAACUGAAACAUCUAAGUACCCCGAGGAAAAGAAAUCAACCGAGAUUCCCCCAGUAGCGGCGAGCGAACGGGGAGGAGCCCAGAGCCUGAAUCAGCAUGUGUGUUAGUGGAAGCGUCUGGAAAGGCGCGCGAUACAGGGUGACAGCCCCGUACACAAAAGCGCAUGUGCUGUGAGCUCGAUGAGUAGGGCGGGACACGUGGUAUCCUGUCUGAAUAUGGGGGGACCAUCCUCCAAGGCUAAAUACUCCUGACUGACCGAUAGUGAACCAGUACCGUGAGGGAAAGGCGAAAAGAACCCCGGCGAGGGGAGUGAAAAAGAACCUGAAACCGUGUACGUACAAGCAGUGGGAGCCCCACCACCAAAGCGUUUCGCUUUGUGUGGUGCACAAAGAAGCGUAACGACAGCACUGAAUGACGGUUAACGGAGCGCAAGCGACGUUCAACAUACAAAGUCAAGCAGUGGAGCGCUUUGGGGUGGGGUGACUGCGUACCUUUUGUAUAAUGGGUCAGCGACUUAUAUUCUGUAGCAAGGUUAACCGAAUAGGGGAGCCGGAGGGAAACCGAGUCUUAACCGGGCGUUAAGUUGCAGGGUAUAGACCCGAAACCCGGUGAUCUAGCCAUGGGCAGGUUGAAGGUUGGGUAACACUAACUGGAGGACCGAACCGACUAAUGUUGAAAAAUUAGCGGAUGACCUGUGGCUGGGGGUGAAAGGCCAAUCAAACCGGGAGAUAGCUGGUUCUCCCCGAAAGCUAUUUAGGUAGCGCCUCGUGAAUUCAUCUCCGGGGGUAGAGCACUGUUUCGGCUAGGGGGCCAUCCCGGCUUACCAACCCGAUGCAAACUGCGAAUACCGGAGAAUGUUAUCACGGGAGACACACGGCGGGUGCUAACGUCCGUCGUGAAGAGGGAAACAACCCAGACCGCCAGCUAAGGUCCCAAAGUCAUGGUUAAGUGGGAAACGAUGUGGGAAGGCCCAGACAGCCAGGAUGUUGGCUUAGAAGCAGCCAUCAUUUAAAGAAAGCGUAAUAGCUCACUGGUCGAGUCGGCCUGCGCGGAAGAUGUAACGGGGCUAAACCAUGCACCGAAGCUGCGGCAGCGACGCUUAUGCGUUGUUGGGUAGGGGAGCGUUCUGUAAGCCUGUGAAGGUGGCCUGUGAGGGUUGCUGGAGGUAUCAGAAGUGCGAAUGCUGACAUAAGUAACGAUAAAGCGGGUGAAAAGCCCGCUCGCCGGAAGACCAAGGGUUCCUGUCCAACGUUAAUCGGGGCAGGGUGAGUCGACCCCUAAGGCGAGGCCGAAAGGCGUAGUCGAUGGGAAACGGGUUAAUAUUCCCGUACUUGGUGUUACUGCGAAGGGGGGACGGAGAAGGCUAUGUUGGCCGGGCGACGGUUGUCCCGGUUUAAGCGUGUAGGUGUGUGUUCCAGGUAAAUCCGGUUCACUUUAACACUGAGGCGUGAUGACGAGGCACUACGGUGCUGAAGCAACAAAUGCCCUGCUUCCAGGAAAAGCCUCUAAGCAUCAGGUAACAUCAAAUCGUACCCCAAACCGACACAGGUGGUCAGGUAGAGAAUACCAAGGCGCUUGAGAGAACUCGGGUGAAGGAACUAGGCAAAAUGGUGCCGUAACUUCGGGAGAAGGCACGCUGACACGUAGGUGAAGUGAUUUACUCAUGGAGCUGAAGUCAGUCGAAGAUACCAGCUGGCUGCAACUGUUUAUUAAAAACACAGCACUGUGCAAACACGAAAGUGGACGUAUACGGUGUGACGCCUGCCCGGUGCCGGAAGGUUAAUUGAUGGGGUCAGCGCAAGCGAAGCUCCUGAUCGAAGCCCCGGUAAACGGCGGCCGUAACUAUAACGGUCCUAAGGUAGCGAAAUUCCUUGUCGGGUAAGUUCCGACCUGCACGAAUGGCGUAAUGAUGGCCAGGCUGUCUCCACCCGAGACUCAGUGAAAUUGAACUCGCUGUGAAGAUGCAGUGUACCCGCGGCAAGACGGAAAGACCCCGUGAACCUUUACUAUAGCUUGACACUGAACAUUGAGCCUUGAUGUGUAGGAUAGGUGGGAGGCUUUGAAGUGUGGACGCCAGUCUGCAUGGAGCCGACCUUGAAAUACCACCCUUUAAUGUUUGAUGUUCUAACGUGGACCCGUGAUCCGGGUUGCGGACAGUGUCUGGUGGGUAGUUUGACUGGGGCGGUCUCCUCCUAAAGAGUAACGGAGGAGCACGAAGGUUGGCUAAUCCUGGUCGGACAUCAGGAGGUUAGUGCAAUGGCAUAAGCCAGCUUGACUGCGAGCGUGACGGCGCGAGCAGGUGCGAAAGCAGGUCAUAGUGAUCCGGUGGUUCUGAAUGGAAGGGCCAUCGCUCAACGGAUAAAAGGUACUCCGGGGAUAACAGGCUGAUACCGCCCAAGAGUUCAUAUCGACGGCGGUGUUUGGCACCUCGAUGUCGGCUCAUCACAUCCUGGGGCUGAAGUAGGUCCCAAGGGUAUGGCUGUUCGCCAUUUAAAGUGGUACGCGAGCUGGGUUUAGAACGUCGUGAGACAGUUCGGUCCCUAUCUGCCGUGGGCGCUGGAGAACUGAGGGGGGCUGCUCCUAGUACGAGAGGACCGGAGUGGACGCAUCACUGGUGUUCGGGUUGUCAUGCCAAUGGCACUGCCCGGUAGCUAAAUGCGGAAGAGAUAAGUGCUGAAAGCAUCUAAGCACGAAACUUGCCCCGAGAUGAGUUCUCCCUGAGACUUUAGGUCUCCUGAAGGAACGUUGAAGACGACGACGUUGAUAGGCCGGGUGUGUAAGCGCAGCGAUGCGUUGAGCUAACCGGUACUAAUGAACCGUGAGGCUUAACCUU